rnacentral:rRNA from 1 species
AGAAUCAACGCUGGCGGCGUGCCUAACACAUGCAAGUCGAACGAGAAAGUGGAGCAAUCCAUGAGUAAAGUGGCGACCGGGUGAGUAACACGUGACUAACCUACCUUCGAGUGGGGGAUAACCUCGGGAAACCGAGGCUAAUACCGCAUAACAUCGCAAGAUCAAAGCAGCAAUGCGCUGGAAGAGGGGGUCGCGGCUGAUUAGUUAGUUGGCGGGGUAAUGGCCCACCAAGACGAUGAUCGGUA